UGCCCAGCAACUCCUAUCCCUACCUCCACGCGGUACCGGCCGGAAACUAUGAGCAACCAUAGGGAAGAUCGGGUAACCAACCCCGGUGGGAACUUUGGUCGUAGGCUGACAGGGAAGG
rnacentral:ribozyme from 1 species